CCUACGGGAGGCAGCAGUGAGGAAUAUUGGUCAAUGGGCGCGAGCCUGAACCAGCCAAGUAGCGUGAAGGAUGACUGCCCUACGGGUUGUAAACUUCUUUUAUAAAGGAAUAAAGUGAGGCACGUGUGCCUUUUUGCAUGUACUUUAUGAAUAAGGAUCGGCUAACUCCGUGCAAGCAGCCGCGGUAAUACGGAGGAUCCGAGCGUUAUCCGGAUUUAUUGGGUUUAAAGGGAGCGGAGAUGGGUUGUUAAGUCAGUUGUGAAAGUUUGCGGCUCAACCGUAAAAUUGCAAUUGAUACUGGCAGUCUUGAGUACAGUUGAGGUAAGCGGAAUUCGUGGUGUAGCGGUGAAAUGCUUAGAUAUCACGAAGAACUCCGAUUGCGAAGGCAGCUUACUAAACUGCCACUGACAUUGAUGAUCGAAAGUGUGGGUAUCAAACAGGAUUAGAUACCCCUGUAGUC
rnacentral:rRNA from 1 species